GGAUCCUGUGUUGUCUUUGCGUCACACAGCCCAAGGCUCCUGCAACCAGCCAAGUCCAGGCUGGUGUUUUACACUUGCACAGCUCCAGGGGUACAAGAUUUUGCCCUUAGAAGAAUUUCCUGUGCUGCCAGACUGGGAGAUUCUGCCACAGACUGCUUACCCAGCUGCCUUGCAAGUCUCCAAGACAGAGACCAUCUCUGAUUCCUGUCUUUCCUGUCCUGCCAUGUGCCUGCUCCUCAGGGAUUACCCAAAUAGGAGCCUCACAAUUGUUACCAACAGCACAUCAGAAAUUCUGAAGAAACUGUUGAAAACAGCUUCUGGGCUUUUACUAAAAUAGUUUCCAGAGAUGAGGAAAAUGAGAGAAUGCAUAUACAAUCUUAGACAAACGAUCUGCUC
rnacentral:lncRNA from 1 species